AGCUUGUCAGUGAUGUUUCUUCAAAAAAAUGUCUGAACAUAUGAAUUCAUAACUGAUUUCAUCUUGUAACUGAGAUAAGCU